rnacentral:rRNA from 1 species
CGCCUCUUGAUUGAACAUGAGAGGUCCAGCCUGCCCAGUGACAAAGUUCAACGGCCGCGGUACCCUAACCGUGCAAAGGUAGCAUAAUCACUUGUUCUUUAAAUAAGGACUAGUAUCAACGGCACCACGAGGGUUAUACUGUCUCCUUUCUCCUAUCAGUGAAACUGAUCUCCCCGUGAAGAAGCGGAGAUAUGAUUAUAAGACGAGAAGACCCCAUGGAGCUUUAAACCCAACAACACCUCCGUACCUCCAUACCCCCACAACCCAAAGAGACCUUGUUUGUUGGUUUUAGGUUGGGGUGACCGCGGAGCAAAAUUUAACCUCCACAACGAAAGGACCCACACCCUAAUCCAAGAGCGACAGCUCUAAGAAUCAAAAAUUUGACGUAAAAUGAUCCGACUCUCGAUCAAUGAACCAAGUUACCCUGGGGAUAACAGCGCAAUCCAUUUCAAGAGCUCCUAUCGACAAAUGGGUUUACGACCUCGAUGUUGGAUCAGGGUAUCCCAGUGGUGCAGCCGCUACUAAAGGUUCGUUUGUUCAACGAUUAAAACCCU